rnacentral:rRNA from 1 species
GACGAACGCUGGCGGCGUGCCUAACACAUGCAAGUCGAACGGAGUUAAGAGAGCUUGCUUUCUUGACUUAGUGGCGGACUGGUGAGUAACGCGUGAGGAACCUGCCUUUCAGAGGGGGACAACAGUCGGAAACGACUGCUAAUACCGCAUAAUGCAUCAAUUUCGCAUGUUAUUGAUGCCAAAGGAGCAAUCCGCCUUUAGAUGAGCUCGCGUCUGAUUAGCUAGUUGGCGGGGUAACGGCCCACCAAAGCGACGAUCAGUAGCCGGCCUGAGAGGGUGAACGGCCACAUUGGGACUGAGACACGGCCCAA